rnacentral:lncRNA from 1 species
AUAUUUUGUAUUAUAUUAAUAGUAAUAGGUCAGCAAUGCAUGACAAUGCAUGACGCUUCCUAAGCUAAGCUAAUUUUAAGGAAUAACAUGAUCUUUUAUUAGGCCUACACAAAAAGAGAAAGAAAAACAAUAAAUUAAAAACUACACUAUCCAAAAUAAGAAAAAUUAAAAAAUUACACUCCACAAAAUAAAUAAAAAAGUACACAGAAUGAACAAAAAAAAUUAUAAAAAAUACACAGAAUGAACAAAAUAGAAAUUAAAAAAAUAUAUAAUACACCAAUGAAAAAAAAAUUAAAAAAUACUUCAUUUGCGUAUACUAAAUCUUACUAAAUCUGUAAAGACUAAUGAAUAAUAGGGAAGAAGAAAAGCAACAACUAUUCAAAACCAAGAAAAAUAAAUCUGUAAAGACUAAUGAAUAAUAGGGAAGAAGAAAAAGCAACAACUAUUCAAAACCAAGAAAAAUAAUAUAAAUAAGAUAAAAAAAUAAUAUAAAUAAGAUAAAAAAAUAAUUACAAUUUUUCCAAACAAAUAAUUACAAUUUUUCCAAACGGAAUCGAUACUCCUUCUCCUAUAUAUAAGUCAAAAUCAUCAAAAAGAUUUAGUAUAAGAUUAAUAAUAAUACACAUUAUUUAUAUUAAAUAUAAAUUGAAUGUAAAAUUAAAAUUUAUAAAAAUAUUGUAUAAAAACAACUACUUUUAACAUUUUAACACAACAUUAAAUAAACAUAAACGAAACACUAUACUUCUAAACAACUUAAAAAAAUUAUAAACACAAACGAAACACUAUAUUUCUCUAAAUAAACAACUUAAAAAAAUUAUAAAAUUGAUCAUAAAAUUGAUGAUAUGUAUACAAAAAAAAUUAUAAACACAAACGAAACACUAUAUUUCUCUAAAUAAACAACUUAAAAAAAUUAUAAAAUUGAUGAUAUGUAUACAAAAUUGAUGAUAUGUAUACACAACGUUAAUAAAUAUUAAAU